GAUGGAUGUUGCGACAAUGGGGCAAUGCCUAUCUCACUGCAUCUUGUGGAAGGUGAGCAGUUGUGAAACCACUGCCAUGAGCAUUGGGAGCCAUCAACUACACAAAACCACCAUCUAACUAGACUCAUAAGGGUGUAAUAGUGCAACCACACUUCUACAUCAUCUAUUUCUCACCCUCAUCAUUCCAUGCAUGACCACCACCGCCAUUUCC
rnacentral:lncRNA from 1 species